GGUUCUUUAGCUCAGUUGGUCAGAGCUAUCGGCUCAUAACCGUUCGGUCGCUGGUUCGAGUCCAGCAAGAACCA
rnacentral:tRNA from 1 species